UGUGUUGUCUGUCCACUCUCGAUCAGAGAUGCUGCCGUGUUACCAUCGAUUGUUCUGGUGCUACUCACUGAAAAUUAACAGUGGCAGUUCAGUGAUUUCCUAACGAAGAAAAAGUCACGGAGGUAGGAAAAAACUGAAGGGUGGGGGCAAUUAAAUUAAAAGACAGCGGCAACGACUGAAGACAGCGAGGGGAUACACUUUGAAAGAUUGAAUUUGAAGGUGAAGUACAAGGCAGUGUGGGGAAACAGAGGGGUCGUGCGGUCCAAGACCACAAUCCCUCGAAGUUGACGUGCAAGCUGUGAAGGUGGUUAAGAAGGUGUACGCCGUGCUGGCCUUCAUUUGUUUGAGUGGAUUCAAGAGCCGCGAGGGUUGAGUGAAGAGCCAUUGAUAUGACUUCCUGACCUGUUGCUCCAGAUGGCAAACUGGAGCAAAUCCAAGUCACCUUUCAGGCAAGGGUUGAUAUGUUUCAUCACCAGCGUUUCAAAUCACUUCAUCACUGUGGUUAACUGCUGCUCACUGGAUGUUAUUGUUUAUUGCACCAUUGUCUGUGAACUCUAGAAAAUCCCAGGAGAUCACUGAGAUACUCAAACCACCCCCUCUGGCACCAGCAAUCAUUCCACAGUCAGAGUCAUGUUUCUUCCACAUUCUGAUGUUUGGUCUGAACAAUUGAACUUCUUGACCAUGUCUGCAGGCUUUUAUGCAUUGAAUUGCUGCCACAAUUAGCUGAUUAGAUAUAUGCAUUAAGCAACAGGUAUACCUAAUAAAGUGGCCAUUAAGUGUG